CUCUCGUAGAGGAGGCCUUGAUUCCUGACAGCACGGAUUAGGGCGGGAGGCACCCGUCCUUGCCGAGUGUCUGGAGCAAGUGUGGAGUCCGUGGUGGCCAGCUGUCAUUACCAGGUGAUGCUGAAGUGGCCAUGGGCAUUUUGAGGACUUCACUCAGUAGAAAGUUAAACUGGGGAGGCAUCAGAGGUACACAGGUGAUGGAGGAGAAUCAAGGUUUGAGGUGCACAGAGUUACAAGCUCGUCUCUGGAUAGCGUGGAAAGACUCGAAAAAGGCACAAGUAGAGAAUCAAACCAGAGUUAUGAGGAGUUAAGAAUGUCAAGAUGAAAAAUGUAACAGAAGAGCCGGAAAACAAAGGAAACCUUUCAAAUGCUGCCUGCCAUAUCAGUAAACAAACGAUGUUGCAGCUGUCAUGCCAUCAACCUCUGCAGCCCUGAGAGGACUCAGGAUGGAGAAAAGCAAGAUACUGGCCCUAGAGAGCUAAGGUGCAUGUCAAAGGAAUGAUUUCAGUGAGCCCAGCCUCGUGCAACUGCCUGGCUAGAGAAAAAGACUAAAUUCAUUCACUUGAGGUAUCUGGAGUUUUUUUUGUUUUUUGUUUUUUAAAAUUAAUGGUCAUCUUUUGAUGUUCUGACCACCUGAUUCUUGUUGCAAAAACUGCAUAUAUUCUGGCUCCUCCCUUAUCUUUUCAGAGCAGUCCUCCAGAGCUACCUGAGAGGCUGUCUUCUGGGCCUAAGUCCUCAGAAAGUCCAUGGAAUAAAACAUAA